rnacentral:snRNA from 1 species
GCUCGUUUGAUUCUGAUUUU